AACGCUGGCGGCGCGCCUAACACAUGCAAGUCGAACGAGAGGCUCUUCGGAGUAGUAAAGUGGCAAACGGGUGAGGAAUGCAUGGGUAACCUACCCUUGAGAAGGGAAUAACCCGCCGAAAGGUGAGCUAAUACCCUAUACGCUACACUUUCUAUGGGAGGUGUAGGAAAGCUAAGCCGUGGGUUUGGCACUCAAGGAGGGGCUCAUGUCCUAUCAGCUUGUUGGUAGGGUAACGGCCUACCAAGGCAACGACGGGUAGCUGGUCUGAGAGGAUGAUCAGCCACACUGGCACUGAGAUACGGGCCAGACUCCUACGGGAGGCAGCAGUGAGGAAUAUUGCGCAAUGGGCGAAAGCCUGACGCAGCGACGCCGCGUGGGGGAUGAAGGUUCUCGGAUUGUAAACCCCUUUUGUGAGGAAAGAGAAAGUGGGUAACCACUUAGACGGUACCUCAAGAAAAAGCCACGGCUAACUUCGUGCCAGCAGCCGCGGUAAUACGAAGGUGGCGAGCGUUGUUCGGAUUUACUGGGCGUAAAGAGCACGUAGGCGGUUGGGUAAGCCU
rnacentral:rRNA from 1 species